UAAGUGCGAUAAUUAAUGUGAAUUGCACAAAUUCGUGAAUCAUCGAGUCUUUGAACGCAUCUUGCGCUUUCGGGACAACUGAAAGCAUGGCUGUUUGAGUGUCGGAAAUAAUCUCUCAUCGACAUGAUGGGGACGAUGAGGUUCAGAGGCUUCACCGGCUUUCGCUGUGCUGUAGACAGUCGUCUACCGCAGCAGUGCCGGAUCGAGUCUGUGCCUUGAAAUGCAGACACCGAAAGUCUCGCUGGCUUUCACAACCUAAAGUGAGGUAAAAGACAGUCGUCUUUCAAUCACUGACAGGCUUGUGCUCUAGCUGGCUUGGCAUAUAUUUCGGUUAGCGGGUGUGCUGGUGUGCUGCAGCUGUGGCUGCCACAUUUUGUAGCAAAGAUCACCCGCUGAACUUAA
rnacentral:misc_RNA from 1 species